rnacentral:rRNA from 1 species
UACGGAGGGUGCAAGCGUUAAUCGGAAUUACUGGGCGUAAAGCGCGCGCAGGCGGCUUGUUAAGUCGGAUGUGAAAGCCCCGGGCUCAACCUGGGAAUUGCAUUCGAUACUGGCAAGCUAGAGUAUGGGAGAGGGGGGUAGAAUUCCAAGUGUAGCAGUGAAAUGCGUAGAGAUUUGGAGGAAUACCAGUGGCGAAGGCAGCCCCCUGGCACACUACUGACGCUCAGGUGCGAAAGCGUGGGGAGCAAACAGG